UUGAUCUGCGCGAGUCCUGCGGGCAAUUAAAGGGGGGACGCGCCGAUCCCCAGGAAAGGCCGUGGAGGAGAGUGGAGUCGACGGAGUGAAAGGUACCCUCAGUGCUCUGCUGCCGGGAGAGCUUCUUGCUUUUGUUCUCCCCACGGCUGGGCUGGAAAACCUUUAAAGCCAAAGUGAGUGCUCACACCCUUUCCUCGUCCUGAGCAGGGAGGAAGCCCACACAGAGUAGGCCGAGCACCCGUGAUGCAUCGAAGCGCUUUCAUGUCAACUGUGAGUAACAACCUCCUUUUACAAAGCAGCAGCUGAGGUGGAGGGCGUGGUGAGCCUGGACCGGGUUCUGGCCUCCCCCCGAGGUGACACCAGGGCAAUCCUCUGUGAGAAGUGAAGGACCGGGAGAGGACAGGCAGACGGCCCAGAGGGCUUUUCAUUCCUUCAGCAAAAGUGUGUUUCCCGGAUCCUUGGCAGAUACUGGACUGGGCACCAAAAACCGACAUGCAAACCACCUCUGCCCUCAGGUGACAUUUUAGAUCACAGUAACAUGUAUGGUGAAUGAAGUAGUGUAUGCAACGUGUCCUGCACCCCAAGUGCCAUUGACAGAUGAAUGGAUAAACAAACUGUGGGCUAUCAAGAGGAGACACAGAAAUCACAGUACACGACAGAAGACUGGAGCACAGAAGAAAAGACUGAUGAAAGCAGUUUCCCAACCCACCAGAAUUAGGAGCAGCUUAGGGAAAGGUCCAAAGACGUGAACAACAAUAACAAGAGAAGGUUCACCCUAACGCACAGUCUAUGACAGCUGCAACUGGGGGCCACCACAGAAUGGAAUAACAAAUGGUUGUUUAAAAUCCUGCUUCCAUCCCCAUUAGUCAGGAAGAAGACACAUACGCCCACUCGCACCACCACACAGAAGAUCUUACUGGAAGUUUCAGUCAACUCAAGAGAAAGAUACAAGAGGGAUAACAACCAGAAACAGAGAGGUGAGAUACCUUAUCUGCAGGUAAUCUGCUUCGAGACCUGGACACCCAAAGAACAAAGUGAAAAACUGCUGCAAACAACAGGAUGACCCAGGAAGCAGGACGUGAAAGACAGAGAUGAGCAGCCUUCAUAGCAACCACCAACAACUAUGCAGGAGACAUAAUGGCAGAGGAGACCCCAUUUACAACAGCAGCGCUAAGAGAAUAUCUGGGCAUAAACAGAAAUGUGCAAAACCCACAGGAGGGAAACUCAUAAACACCCCUAAGGAAAUGAAAGUGGCCUUAAACACAAAGUUGGAGCAGCCUCUUAGCUAAGAGGACGCAAACAACCUAGAGUUGCCCAUCCCCCCGGGUAUUUUAAAAAUUUGAUGGAAUCCCAAUAAAAACACCAACAGCUUUUUCUGCAAUGAAAUGAGCCAAUUCAAAGUUCCUACUGUUUGUAACCACCAUUGUUGUUGUGAAUUGUUUUAACAGGAUAUAGCAAUAAUUAUGUCAAUGAUGUUAGAAAUCAAGAUUUUCAGUGUAAGACAGAGAUAAAACUGAAAAAUAAAGAAACAAGUGAAAACACCAUAACGAUAAGUUGAA